GAGGACGAAUCCUUUCGAAGAGGGAGGGGAUGAUAUGAAUCAAGGCACGUCCACAACCGAAGCGAGUCAAGCGACGAGUUACGGAAAGGAUCCAUUGAUAGUCGAAGGCGGACCGAUGACGCGAUCGAGGAAGAAGUGAGUGAAAGAAGCGAUGGGAUUGCUUGUCAAGCAAAUGAUCGAUGAAACAAUGUUCGGGAGGUCAAAUGGAACAAGUUUCAUGUUGGGGUCGAAGGCCGAAGGAACUUGGAUCAA
rnacentral:lncRNA from 1 species